rnacentral:sRNA from 1 species
CUGACAGCCCUGAGUACUGAAGUCCCUUAUUUAUCCACAAAACAGGUGGAGCUGGGUCACUGGCAGUACAGCCUUCCCGAGACUGUCCUGCCAAUGGUGCCCCAGCCUGAACCUGGGGUGGACCACCUUUCUGCAAAAGGUUACUCUAUUUCCUGUGGCCACUUUGCUGAGACUACC